UACGGAGGGUGCGAGCGUUGUCCGGAAUCACUGGGCGUAAAGGGCGCGUAGGCGGCCUGAUAAGUAGGGGGUGAAAUCCUGCGGCUUAACCGCAGGGCUGCCUUCUAAACUGUCAGGCUUGAGCACAGUAGAGGCAGGUGGAAUUCCCGGUGUAGCGGUGGAAUGCGUAGAGAUCGGAAAGAACAUCAGUGGCGAAGGCGGCCUGCUGGGCUGUUGCUGACGCUGAGGCGCGACAGCGUGGGGAGCAAACAGG
rnacentral:rRNA from 1 species